ACUGAGCAGCCGAGGGAGUGGCGCUACGGCGUCCCACGCUGGACAAGCUUCCCUGGCUGCGGCCGCUUUUAAUUCUCCGGGAUGAAAAGAGAAAAGUGAAAGGAACUGGCCACCAAAAGAAAACGCUGUUAGGUCAUUUUUCCCUUCAUCUUCCUCUCUCACAAAUUAAAUACAACAACAAACCGGGGAAUGACAGACACAAAAAUCAGCAAGAAGAGCAAAAAAGAGAAAGAGAACUAUUUAUUAUUUGGCAGACACAACAUCUUCGUUUGUUAUGUGGUGCUGAGGAUCGAACCCGGGCCGCACGCAUGCCAGGCGAGUGCGCUACCACUUGAGCCACA